UACGUAGGCAGCGAGCGUUGUUCGGAGUUACUGGGCGUAAAGGGUGUGUAGGCGGUUGCUUAAGUUUGGUGUGAAAUCUCCCGGCUCAACUGGAGGGUGCGCCGAAUACUGAGUGACUCGAGUGCGGGAGAGGAGAGUGGAAUUCCUGGUGUAGCGGUGAAAAUGCGUAGAUAUCAGGAGGAACACCGGUGGUGUAGACGGCUCUCUGGACCGUAACUGACGCUGAGACACGAAAGCGUGGGUAGCAAACAGG
rnacentral:rRNA from 1 species